UUGUACUGUGAGUAGCGCAGCUAACGCACUAAGUAGACCGCCUGGGGAGUACGGUCGCAAGAUUAAAACUCAAAUGAAUUGACGGGGGCCCGCACAAGCGGUGGAGCAUGUGGUUUAAUUCGACGCAACGCGAAGAACCUUACCUACUCUUGACAUCUAGCGAAGAUUGCAGAGAUGCAGUUGUGCCUUCGGGAACGCUAAGACAGGUGCUGCAUGGCUGUCGUCAGCUCGUGUUGUGAAAUGUUGGGUUAAGUCCCGCAACGAGCGCAACCCUUAUCCUUAGUUGCCAGCACGUAAUGGUGGGAACUCUAGGGAGACUGCCGGUGAUAAACCGGAGGAAGGUGGGGACGACGUCAAGUCAUCAUGGCCCUUACGAGUAGGGCUACACACGUGCUACAAUGGUACGUACAGAGGGAGGCAAGCUUGGCGACAGUGAGCGGAUCUCUUAAAAGCGUAUCGUAGUUCCGGAUCGCAGUCUGGCAACUCGACUGCGUGAAGUCGGAAUCGC
rnacentral:rRNA from 1 species